UACAGAGGGGGCAAGCGUUGUUCGGAAUUACUGGGCGUAAAGGGCUCGUAGGUGGCCAACUAAGUCAGACGUGAAAUCCCUGGGCUCAACCCAGGAACUGCGUCCGAUACUGGGAGGCUUGAAUCCGGGAGAGGGAUGUGGAAUUCCAGGUGUAGCGGUGAAAUGCGUAGAUAUCUGGAGGAACACCGGUGGCGAAGGCGGCAUCCUGGACCGGUAUUGACGCUGAUGCGCGAAAGCCAGGGGAGCAAACGGG
rnacentral:rRNA from 1 species